rnacentral:rRNA from 1 species
CUCUUUUUGUUUAUAUAAAAAGUAUGACCUGCCCACUGACUAUGUUGAAGGGCCGCGGUAUUUUGACCGUGCAAAGGUAGCAUAAUCAUUAGUCUCUUGAUUAGAGGCUGGAAUGAAUGGUUGGACGAAAUAUAGGCUGUCUUGUAAUUUAUAUUAGAAUUUAAUUAUUAGGUAAUAAAGCUUAAAUGUGUUUAUGGGACGAGAAGACCCUAUAGAGUUUAAUAAUUAAUAUUUAUAUAUUUGUUUGUUUAAAAGUUUAUUUUGUUAAUUAUUUUGUUGGGGUGAUAGGAGGAUAUAAUAAACUCUUUUUAUUGUUAAAUAUUAAUAUAUAGUUUUGAUGAUCCGUUAAUAGUGAUUAAAAGACUAAAUUACC